UCCCUGGUGGUCCAGUGGUUAGAACUCGGUGCUGUCACUGCCGUGGCCCCAGGUUUCGAGCCCUGGUCUGGGAA